UACGUAGGGUGCGAGCGUUUAAUCGGAAUUACUGGGCGUAAAGCGUGCGCAGGCGGUGAUGUAAGACAGAUGUGAAAUCCCCGGGCUUAACCUGGGAACUGCAUUUGUGACUGCACGGCUGGAGUGCGGCAGAGGGGGAUGGAAUUCCACGUGUAGCAGUGAAAUGCGUAGAGAUGUGGAGGAAUACCGAUGGCGAAGGCAGCCCCCUGGGAUAACACUGACGCUCAUGCACGAAAGCGUGGGGAGCAAACAGG
rnacentral:rRNA from 1 species